rnacentral:rRNA from 1 species
GACGGAAGGUGCAAGCGUUGCUCGGAAUCACUGGGCGUAAAGGGUGCGUAGGCGGCCGUGCAAGUCUGGCGUGAAAGCCCCGGGCUCAGCCCGGGAAGUGCGCUCGAAACUGCGCGGCUCGAGUGCCGGAGGGGAGAGUGGAAUUCCUGGUGUAGCGGUGAAAUGCGUAGAUAUCAAGCGGAACACCAGUGGCGAAGGCGAGUCCCUGGACAACUCCUGACACUGAGGCACGAAAGCUAGGGGAGCAAACAGG